GAUGAACGCUGGCGGCGUGCCUAAUACAUGCAAGUCGAGCGAACAGACGAGGAGCUUGCUCCUCUGACGUUAGCGGCGGACGGGUGAGUAAAACGUGGAUAACCUACCUAUAAGACUGGGAUAACUUCGGGAAACCGGAGCUAAUCCCGGAUAAUAUAUUGAACCGCAUGGUUCAAUAGUGAAAGACGGUUUUGCUGUCACUUAUAGAUGGAUCCGCGCCGCAUUAGCUAGUUGGUAAGGUAACGGCUUACCAAGGCGACGAUGCGUAGCCGACCUGGGAGGGUGAUCGGCCACACUGGAACUGAGACACGGUCCAGACUCCUACGGGAGGCAGCAGUAGGGAAUCUUCCGCAAUGGGCGAAAGCCUGACGGAGCAACGCCGCGUGAGUGAUGAAGGUCUUCGGAUCGUAAAACUCUGUUAUUAGGGAAGAACAAAUGUGUAAGUAACUAUGCACGUCUUGACGGUACCUAAUCAGAAAGCCACGGCUAACUACGUG
rnacentral:rRNA from 1 species